GAGUUUGAUCAUUGCUCAGAUUGAACGCUUGCGGCAGUCCUAACACAUGCAAGUCGAGCGAGAAAGCACUUCGGUGUGAGUAGAGCGGCGGACGGGGGAGUAAGGUGAGUAACGCGUAGGAAUUUGCCCAGUAGUGGGGGACAACAUGUGGAAACGCAUGCUAAUACCGCAUACGCCCUAUGGGGGAAAGCAGGGGAUCUUCGGACCUUGCGCUAUUGGAGAAGCCUGCGUCGGAUUAGCUAGUUGGUGGGGUAAAGGCCCACCAAGGCGACGAUCCGUAGCUGGUCUGAGAGGAUGAUCAGCCACACUGGGACUGAGACACGGCCCAGACUCCUACGGGAGGCAGCAGUGGGGAAUAUUGGACAAUGGGCGAAAGCCUGAUCCAGCAAUGCCGCGUGUGUGAAGAAGGCCUGAGGGUUGUAAAGCACUUUCAGUAGGGAGGAAAAGUUAGUCGUUAAUAACGGCUAACCCUGACGUUACCUACAGAAGAAGCACCGGCAAACUCCGUGCCAGCAGCCGCGGUAAUACGGAGGGUGCAAGCGUUAAUCGGAAUUACUGGGCGUAAAGCGCGCGUAGGCGGUUUGGUCAGUCGGAUGUGAAAGCCCUGGGCUCAACCUGGGAACUGCAUUCGAUACUGCCUGACUAGAGUGUGGUAGAGGGAAGUGGAAUUCCGGGUGUAGCGGUGAAAUGCGUAGAUAUCCGGAGGAACACCAGUGGCGAAGGCGGCUUCCUGGACCAACACUGACGCUGAGGUGCGAAAGCGUGGGGAGCGAACAGGAUUAGAUACCCUGGUAGUCCACGCCGUAAACGAUGAGAACUAGAUGUUGCGGGGCAUGUCCCCUUUAGUGGCGCAGCUAACGCGAUAAGUUGACCGCCUGGGGAGUACGGCCGCAAGGUUAAAACUCAAAGGAAUUGACGGGGGCCCGAACAAGCGGUGGAGCAUGUGGUUUAAUUCGAUGCAACGCGAAGAACCUUACCUGCCCUUGACAUCCUCGGAACCUUCCAGAGAUGGUUGGGUGCCCCUUCGGGAACCGAGUGACAGGUGCUGCAUGGCUGUCGUCAGCUCGUGUCGUGAGAUGUUGGGUUAAGUCCCGUAACGAGCGCAACCCUUGUCCCUAGUUACCAGCGGUUCGGCCGGGAACUCUAGGGAGACUGCCGGUGACAAACCGGAGGAAGGUGGGGAUGACGUCAAGUCCUCAUGGCCCUUAUGGGCAGGGCUACACACGUGCUACAAUGGCCGGUACAGAGGGCCGCAACCUCGCAAGAGCAAGCAAAUCCCACAAAACCGGUCGUAGUCCGGAUCGGAGUCUGCAACUCGACUCCGUGAAGUCGGAAUCGCUAGUAAUCGUGGAUCAGCACGCCACGGUGAAUACGUUCCCGGGCCUUGUACACACCGCCCGUCACACCAUGGGAGUUGGCUGCACCAGAAGUAGGUAGCUUAACCUUUCGGGGAGGGCGCUUACCACGGUGUGGUCAAUGACUGGGGUGAAGUCGUAACAAGGUAACC
rnacentral:rRNA from 1 species